rnacentral:rRNA from 1 species
AGAUUGAACGCUGGCGGCAGGCCUAACACAUGCAAGUCGAGCGGUAGAGAGGUGCUUGCACCUCUUGAGAGCGGCGGACGGGUGAGUAAAGCCUAGGAAUCUGCCUGGUAGUGGGGGAUAACGCUCGGAAACGGACGCUAAUACCGCAUACGUCCUACGGGAGAAAGCAGGGGACCUUCGGGCCUUGCGCUAUCAGAUGAGCCUAGGUCGGAUUAGCUAGUUGGUGAGGUAAUGGCUCACCAAGGCGACGAUCCGUAACUGGUCUGAGAGGAUGAUCAGUCACACUGGAACUGAGACACGGUCCAGACUCCUACGGGAGGCAGCAGUGGGGAAUAUUGGACAAUGGGCGCAAGCCUGAUCCAGCCAUACCGCGUGGGUGAAGAAGGCCUUCGGUUGUAAAGCCCUUUGUGGAAGAAAGCAAUCGGUAAUACCGGUGUCUGCGUACCAAGAAUAAGCACGGCUAACUCGUGCCAGCAGCCG